CCUGGCCUCAAAUGAUCUGCCCACCUCAGCCUCCCAAAGUGCUGAGAUUACAGACGUGAGCCACCGCGGCCGGCCAAUCUCAUAGUCAAUGUUAAUGGAUGCCACUCCAUGUCAGGCACUGUGCCUGAGUUGGGGAAAAGAGGCAGUGCCUGCCCUCAGUAAACUCCUAAGUUGGGAGGGAGAAGUGUGGGAGACAGGGAUAUCCACAUGGUGCACUAACUGCUGUGGCUGACAUCCUCACAGUGGCUACUGAAGCACCAUGGAGUGGCUGGUGACUAGGAAGACUUCCUGAAGACGAGGAUGCUACAAAUGGGGCAAGAAGGAGUUUUCCUGGCAGGCAUGUGGAAGAGAUCCAGGCUAAGGACAUAGUUAAAUAAAAGUGUGUGACAUGAAGUUGUUCCUAAUUCCUACUUUGCAGUUGAAGAAACAGAGGCCCACAGAGAGAUGCCGGGUCUACCUCAAAUCUGAUCUGAGGCUAGGUCAGAAAGGCCAUGCAGCUUCUGCCUGAUUCUACACUAAGACCGCCAUGCUGGAGAGUGUGUGCACCUAACCUAUAGAGAGGUGUUCCAGUCCAUGGUCCAGCUGACAUCCCAGCUAACAGCCAGAGCCAAUUGUCAGCCAUGGGAGUGCGCCAUAUUGGAUAUUCAGCCCAGUUGGGUUGGCUGCAGAUGGCUGCAGCCCUGGCCAACUUCUGAAUGCAACCACAUGAGAGACCCCAAGCUAGAGCUACAUGGCCAAGCUGCUUCUGAAUUCCUGACUCACAAAACCACAAAAUAAAAUGGCUGUUUGGAACCUUGACAUUUUGGAGUAACUCCUUACACAGCAAUAGUAACCAGGACAAAGGGCAAAGAGGGAAUGUGGACUAAUGAAGGCAUCUCCUGAGGCUUUCCAGAGCCUCAAAACACAGUUUGGCACAAAGGCUUUUUAAAAUGGAGAUUGCAUGAGCCUGGAGGAGGUGUGGCCUAACCCUUUGUCAUCUGAAGGGGCAGCACAAGAAAACUCUGAAAUGGAAUAAACUCGGGGCAGAUGGAGGUGGUGACAAAGGGGAGGAUUGGAUGAGCGCAUCUCUCCAUAUUCAGUUGAUUGAAAAAAUCAACUGUACGUCUGCCCUUCUGGCAGGACCUCUGCAGAAGUGAGGAGCUUUGCAGUGAUUCUAGAAGGAAGGAAGCUCAUGGAUACAAGCUUGUGAUUAGCAAGAAGUUAUACAUGGCUGAUUGGAGAGAAAUGCGAUUAGAGAUUUUUAAAACCCAAACGUCAAAUGUUGAAGAAAGUGCUCAAGGGUUGCAGACAGAGCUGGGAAUGGGGUUGGACAUGCCUGUGGUCCAUUGCUGGUCACAUUUGCUCAGAAUGUCCCUGCAAGCAGAAAAUGCAGGACCUCAGCAAGAAGGUUCAGAAAGUACCCUGUUCCCCUAACAAACUCCAGGUGCAUCUGCAUCUGGCUUCUGCACACACUUCUGAAUGGCCAACUUGGAAAAACUCAGAGGAAAGGAACCAGGUAGGUGAUAAGGAAUGGGUGUGGCUUGGGAGAGUGGGAGUGUAGGGGUGGAAAGGAUAGUGUGAGGACAGGGUUCUUGGUUUCAACCUAUUAAUCCUAGAGAAGCAAAAGAUGGGGAUGACCAAAAUCUAAAAAGAGAGAGAAAUAGAAACUUUACAGUGGAGAAUCCCAACAGAUACCACUUUAGCCAAGUUAUCAAGUUAGCAUCACUGAUAAUACAUAUCAACACUAUGAUAUAGUGCUCUGAGAAGGUAAUAUCACCUCUGUGUUAUCCUCACUCUAAUCAUGAGAAAUCAUGACACAAACCCAGAAUGAACCUUUUACAAAAUAACUGACAGUAUUCUUGAAAAGAGUUAAGUCAUGGAAGGCAAGGAAAGACUCAGGAUACAGUGAAGGAUACUAAGUAGGCAUGAAAACUAACUGCCAAGUGGGAUCCUCAGUUAGCUACUGGAAAAGGAAUAGAACACUAAUGGACAAACUUGAGAAAUCUAAAUGCCAUACUUUUGUUAAUAGCGUUUGUGUAUCAACAUAUCAAGGUUAAUUUCCUGGUUUUGUUCUAUGGUGAUGUAAGAUGUUAAUGUAAGGGAAAGGUGGGAGAAGUGUUUAUGAAAACUGUCUGUACUAUUUUCGUGACUCUUUGGUACAUCUAAAAUUAACUCCGCAGGAGUGGUGGCUCACUCCUGUAAUCCCAGCACUUUGAGAGGCCGAGACAAGAAGAUCAC